GGGGAGUUGGGAUAGUUGGUAUUCCAGAGGACUGCUACUCCUUCCUACCUGUAAAAGGUAGCACACGUUCGAGUCGUGUACUCCCCG
rnacentral:tRNA from 1 species